rnacentral:rRNA from 1 species
AUGCAGAUUGCUGGACUCAACACCCUCGGCAUCUCAAUUGCGCGCAUCGACUAUGCUCCCUUGGGUCAGAACCCACCACAUACGCACCCUCGCGCCACUGAGAUCCUCACGGUGCUCGAGGGGACACUAUAUGUUGGCUUUGUCACAUCCAACCAGCCCGCCCCCAACAGAAACAAGUUCCUUUCCAAGAUGCUCAACAAAGGUGAUGUGUUUGUCUUCCCCGUGGGGCUCAUCCACUUCCAAUUCAACCCCAACCCCCACCAGCCCGCUAUUGCAAUUGCCGCGCUCAGCAGCCAGAACCCAGGGGCUAUCACAAUUGCCAAUGCAGUGUUUGGGUCGGACCCACCAAUAUCAUAUGAUGUUCUUGCCAAGGCAUUUCAGGUGGAAAAGAAUACAAUAGACUAUCUCCAGGCUCAAUUUUGGGAGAACAACCACAACUAA